rnacentral:rRNA from 1 species
CUUGCUACCUGACCUAGCGGCGGACGGGUGAGUAAUGCUUAGGAAUCUGCCUAUUAGUGGGGGACAACAUUCCGAAAGGAAUGCUAAUACCGCAUACGCCCUACGGGGGAAAGCAGGGGAUCUUCGGACCUUGCGCUAAUAGAUGAGCCUAAGUCAGAUUAGCUAGUUGGUGGGGUAAAGGCCUACCAAGGCGACGAUCUGUAGCGGGUCUGAGAGGAUGAUCCGCCACACUGGGACUGAGACACGGCCCAGACUCCUACGGGAGGCAGCAGUGGGGAAUAUUGGACAAUGGGCGAAAGCCUGAUCCAGCCAUGCCGCGUGUGUGAAGAAGGCCUUUUGGUUGUAAAGCACUUUAAGCGAGGAGGAGGCUACUUGGAUUAAUACUCUAGGAUAGUGGACGUUACUCGCAGAAUAAGCACCGGCUAACUCUGUGCCAGCAGCCGCGGUAAUACAGAGGGUGCGAGCGUUAAUCGGAUUUACUGGGCGUAAAGCGUGCGUAGGCGGCUUCUUAAGUCGGAUGUGAAAUCCCUGAGCUUAACUUAGGAAUUGCAUUCGAUACUGGGAAGCUAGAGUAUGGGAGAGGAUGGUAGAAUUCCAGGUGUAGCGGUGAAAUGCGUAGAGAUCUGGAGGAAUACCGAUGGCGAAGGCAGCCAUCUGGCCUAAUACUGACGCUGAGGUACGAAAGCAUGGGGAGCAAACAGGAUUAGAUACCCUGGUAGUCCAUGCCGUAAACGAUGUCUACUAGCCGUUGGGGCCU